GCGGUUGUAGUACAUCGGUAGUAUGCGGCCUUCCCAAGGCUGAGAGGCGGGUUCGAUUCCCGUCAGCCGCU
rnacentral:tRNA from 1 species